rnacentral:rRNA from 1 species
AUUGAACGCUGGCGGCAUGCCUUACACAUGCAAGUCGAACGGCAGCACGGGUGCUUGCACCUGGUGGCGAGUGGCGAACGGGUGAGUAAUACAUCGGAACAUGUCCUGUAGUGGGGGAUAGCCCGGCGAAAGCCGGAUUAAUACCGCAUACGAUCUACGGAUGAAAGCGGGGGACCUUCGGGCCUCGCGCUAUAGGGUUGGCCGAUGGCUGAUUAGCUAGUUGGUGGGGUAAAGGCCUACCAAGGCGACGAUCAGUAGCCUGUCUGAGAGGACGACCAGCCACACUGGGACUGUGACACGGCCCAGACUCCUGCGGGAGGCAGCAGUGGGGACUUUUGGACAAUGGGCGAAAGCCUGAUCCAUCAGUGCCGCGUGUGUGAAGACGGCCUUCCGGUUGUAAAGCACUUUUGUCCGGAAAGAAAUCCUUGGCCCUAAUACGGUCGGGGGAUGACGGUACCGGAAGAAUAAGCACCGGCUAACUACGUG